UUUGGCAGAUUUUUGGUGAAUGCAAGGCAAGGCAAGGUUAAGAAUGAGGGAGUAAGUGAAGGUGUUUUUGGUCUAUGUGUUGUUUUAUGCCAUGGUGCUUUUGACAGAGAAGAUCAAAUGCCCACAGCAGGGUUCCUUUCCUUUUGGAUUUCAGCAGAAAAAUGAAAAGAUAAAAUGCCAAUCUCUUUUUUUUGAUUUCUUUUUUUUUGGGAUGCUGUUG
rnacentral:lncRNA from 1 species